rnacentral:piRNA from 1 species
UGUACAAGAUAGUGGGAUACGGUGAAGCCC